ACUGAGGAAUAUGCACACUCUUGUGAAGGUUGCAUAUUUAAUAAGUAGGAGAGGUCUGUGAAAUGGCACUUGUGUCUGUAUGCCAAUUCACUUCUUGUUUGAUGAAUGUUCCCUGAUUUUCUAUGUGGGAAUGGAGCUCCGAGUUGCUCUAGGCUGGGCUCUAAAUUUAUCUGCUAGACCACCUUGUGUGGUACAGCAGUAUCUUGUCAGAUAGUACAAACUAAACAAGAUUGGGCUUGAUUAGCCCUGGUUAGGGAAGCCCUUAGGGAAAGCCAGUGUUUUCUGAAGGAAGCUGCCCUAGUGAUUAGGUGGGUGAGCUCUUCUCUUAGAAGCCUGUUUUGGUGGGCAUUGGAGGACAGCUUUUUUUCCAUGUGCUGUCUUUAAGACCAUAUUCUGAAUAAUCAUUUUUAGAGCAUGUCACUCUUCAGAAAAACUAUCAAAACCCCAUGGGUGUUUUGAUUAAAUACCCUGAGCAAAUACAUAAAUCAUACCUACUUAAGCACUUUCCAUACAGUCAGUUUUAAUUUCCUGAGUCUCCCAUUUCAUUCCCUGUGUGUCCUACUCUACUGUUACAUAUACUCUACUAGCUGUAGUGUUGCAUCUUCUAGUAGCAGAUGAAAUUUUUCCAUUCCUUUUGAAAUAAGUAAUAUAUUUUGAGAUACAGUAGAGUGGAAGAAGUCAAUGUAAUGAAGACACAGUUUAGCAAUUCAGUAGGUUUAUCUUACUGAUGAGAACUUUUAGAAUACUGCCAAAUUAGUUCUUCACUAGUUAAGAUGUCCUAUUUUCUGGCCUUAGAUUUUUAUUUAUUCUUGGAAAUUGAACAGUUUUGAAGAAAAAAAAAUCAACAUAUUAUUUUUGGUAAAAUAGCCGUCAAUUUUAAAUAUAUUUCCAAAGGUAGUGAGGGAUUAUUUUAGCAUAAAGCAUCUCAUUACAAAGAUUUUCCACAAAUAUACUGUAAGGUUUGCUGUUGCUAUUGGCCAUCAGAUGUACCAGCAGCAACAUACAAAUGCAGCAAGCAUCACUAGAACAGUGUUAACCUGGGUUUCUCACUGGAAAUAGAUUUGGUGGUUUCAUUCUGUUUCAUAGGCAGCAAAUUUGAAAAAAGGACCUGAAUAUGGUUGAUGCAAUUGAAUUUUUAAGACACCCUUGUAAGUCACAGAAUUAUAAAGAAAUGAGAAAAUCCCUUAAUUGCAACAAGUUCCCCAAUGCAUAAAAGGACUAUCUGGCAGAGAAAAUUGGCAGUGUGCUGGUGAUCAGAUGUAACAGCUGGAACACUUCUAUUCAAAGUACUUUAGGAGUAAUAAACCUAAUAAUUUAUCCACAAACUGCUGUGAUAGCUGUAAUUCUGCUUUGUUAAAAAUCUUUCUUCCCUAUACUUAUAUAUGUUAUAUAUAUUUCUAUUUUGGCCUAACAUUUUUACAAAUGUGAAAGAGGUUAAUGCUAUUUUUGAUACAUAUUGCAAGCUUUUUGUGUCAAAAUAUUUUCACCAAAGUUUAGGAUAAUUAGUGUAUUUUUAUGAUACUGAGAAUUCCUUUAUGAAUUGCUGUUUGUUGCUACUUCAUUUCCAUGUUAAUUUUCUGUCUUUCAAUCACUUACUAUGUUGCUUGGUAUGGUACAUCUUGGAAAAGGUAAGUGUGAUGACACUUCACUGAUUAUGUAAAUGCAAUGACUGUAGAUUUGAUUUUCUUCUCUUGAUCUUUUUUUAGAGGUGACAUCUACAAAGUAUUGCUUAUAUUUUUCCUUGUGUAUUCAGUAUGUAAACCAAUACCUUCUGGUAAAGAGCAGGACUCAUUACUGAGUUAUAUAGAAAUUUAUUUCUUUUUCUGCGGACCUCUUAUGAAAAAAAAAAAAAA
ensembl:lncRNA